rnacentral:rRNA from 1 species
UACGUAGGGGGCAAGCGUUAUCCGGAUUUACUGGGUGUAAAGGGAGCGUAGACGGUUAAGUAAGUCUGGAGUGAAAGGCGGGGGCCCAACCCCCGGACUGCUCUGGAAACUAUGUUACUGGAGUGCAGGAGAGGUAAGCGGAAUUCCUAGUGUAGCGGUGAAAUGCGUAGAUAUUAGGAGGAACACCAGUGGCGGAGGCGGCUUACUGGACGGUAACUGACGCUGAGGCUCGAAAGCGUGGGGAGCAAACAGG